rnacentral:lncRNA from 1 species
UGACGCCUCGGCGCCAGCGGUCCUCGUGGCCUUCUGGGCCUGGCCGCCAUACACUCGCUUGCUCGCCCACCGCACCCGAACCCCCAACCCCUUUGGGCGUUCCAACGCGGCGCCCCCUG